UCUGCCUGUCUGUUGACAGGUCGGCCUUUUUGUCGACCGUUCGGUGUGUCUGUCUGUCUGCCGACAGUUCGGUCUGUCUGUCUGUCUGCCGACAGGUCGGUCUGUUUGUCUGUCGACAGGUCGGUCUUUCUCUCGACUGGUUGGUGUGACUCUCUGUCUGCCGACAGGUCGGUCUGUCUGUCUGUCGACAGGUCGGUCUGUCUCUCUGUUGUCUAUCUAUCUAUCUAUCUAUCUAUCUAUCUAUCUAUCUAUCUAUCUAUCUAUCUAUCUAUCUAUCUAUCUACUGAGGAGCUUUAAAGUUCUGAGAUGAGAGUUUAGCUCUAAAACCUGUUUUUAAUAUCAAAUAUCAUUAAAACAGUAAAGGUAAACACACAGGCACCCUGUGUCAAAACACAGACUCCAAUAAUGUCUUAUAUGUUACAGAUAAUGAAAUAUUUUACUAUUAAAAACAUUUUAUAUAAAAUUAGGAGGCACACAUAGAAUCACUGUUUGGCCGAUAAAAUAAAAUACCGUAUUUUUCGGACUAUAAGGCGCACCGUAUUAUAAGACGCACUAUCAAAGAACGCCUAUUUUCUGCUAUUUUUCCAUACAUAGGGCGCAUCGCAUUAUAAGGCGCGUUAAGUGACACUAGAAAGGGUGCCUAUAUCAAAGUGAACAGGGGUGGCGCCAUGUUUCCCUUCCCCCACCGGGGGUGGUCGCUUGCCGGUGGAGCGUCUCCGUAUACAAAUCUAGCUCUUUCAAAGUCAAACGAGUGCUGGAUAUUAAUCUACACAGAUUCCUCUCCUGAAAACUGUUUAUUUGGGUGAGUAACGUGCUUCAGUUUAUUUACAGUAAGCUUAGAUUUCCAGAUGUCCACUAAGGCUUGCUGCACCAGCGUUAGCAUAGCUAUCCGCUAGCACGCUAGCUAGUCACCUAAACUAGUAAAGUUAACCCAAACUUAAACGACAGCGUUACACUGAGUAAUCCUGCGUGUUCUGGUAAGACAGUGAGAUAUUAGCUAGCGAUUCGUCCCCCGUAGCUUGUUUUAACACGGUAAACAAGCAGAUUACAGGCUGAUAAAACUCACCUCUGAGAGAGUUAGCGCUUAGCAUCUAGCUAAUGCUAGCCAGGCAAAGCAGCACAGACUUACAGGCCGAUAACUCACCUCUGAACGGUGAACGCUUAGCGAUUAGCAUCUAACUCUAAUAAUACUGCUCCAGCAGUAUUAAAAGUGCUAAAUUUAGAAAAUACUGAUCUCUGAACAGUGAAAAAGCUAGCUAGCUAAGCGGUUAGCAUCUAGCUAAUGCUAUUGCUGCUCCAGCCUCGGAGCGG